rnacentral:piRNA from 1 species
UNGGUUAGAGAAAUAUCCAGUGCUAAGAGU